CGUAAAGCGCGCGCAGGCGGUUCCUUAAGUCUGAUGUGAAAGGCCACAGCUCAACUGUGGAGGGCCAUUGGAAACUGGGGAACUUGAGGACAGAAGAGGAGAGCGGAAUUCCACGUGUAGCGGUGAAAUGCGUAGAUAUGUGGAGGAACACCAGUGGCGAAGGCGGCUCUCUGGUCUGUAACUGACGCUGAGGCGCGAAAGCAUGGGUAGCGAACAGGAUUAGAUACCCUGGUAGUCCAUGCCGUAAACGUUGAGUGCUAGGUGUUAGGGGGUCCAACCCUUAGUGCUGCAGUUAACGCAAUAAGCACUCCGCCUGGGGAGUACGGCCGCAAGGCUGAAACUCAAAGGAAUUGACGGGGGCCUGCACAAGCGGUGGAGCAUGUGGUUUAAUUCGACGCAACGCGAAGAACCUUACCAGGUCUUGACAUCUUCGGACAGCCCAAGAGAUUGGGUCUUCCCUUCGGGGACCGAAUGACAGGUGGUGCAUGGUUGUGUCAGCUCGUGUCGUGAGAUGUUGGGUUAAGUCCCGUAACGAGCGCAACCCCUGAUCUUAGUUGCCAGCAUUCAGUUGGGCACUCUAGGAUGACUGCCGGUGACAAACCGGAGGAAGGCGGGGAUGACGUCAAAUCAUCAUGCCCCUUAUGACCUGGGCUACACACGUGCUACAAUGGAUGGUACAAAGGGAAGCCAAACCGCGAGGUCGAGCUAAUCCCAUAAAGCCAUUCUCAGUUCGGAUUGUAGGCUGCAACUCGCCUGCAUGAAGCCGGAAUCGCU
rnacentral:rRNA from 1 species